AACGAACGCUAGCGGCGUGCUUCAAACAUGCAAGUCGUACGCGAAAGGGACUUCGGUCCUGAGUAGAGUGGCGCACGGGUGAGUAACACGUAGUUAACUUUCCCUCUCGCUGGGGAUAACUCCGGGAAACCGGAGCUAAUACCGAAUGAUCUGACGGGGUCUGCGGACCCUUUCGGUAAAGCCGUAAGGCGCGAGAGGAUAGGGCUGCGUUCCAUUAGCUAGUUGGCGGGGUAAUGGCCCACCAAGGCUACGAUGGAUAGCUGGUCUGAGAGGAUGAUCAGCCACACUGGAACUGACACACGGUCCAGACUCCCACGGGAGGCAGCAGUUGGGAAUAUUGGACAAUGGGGGAAACCCUGAUCCAGCGACGCCGCGUGAGUGAUGAAGGCCUUCGGGUCGUAAAGCUCUUUUAGUGGGGAAGAAGGGAAACUUGACUGUACCCACAGAAAAAGCACCGGCUAACUCUGUGCCAGCAGCCGCGGUAAUACAGAGGGUGCAAGCGUUGUUCGGAAUUAUUGGGCGUAAAGCGCGUGUAGGCGGCCAUUUAAGUCUGGUGUGAAAUCCCUCGGCUCAACCGAGGAAGUGCAUUGGAUACUGAAUGGCUAGAGGAUGAGAGAGGAGAGUGGAAUUCCAGGUGUAGGGGUGAAAUCCGUAGAUAUCUGGAGGAACACCAGAGGCGAAGGCGGCUCUCUGGCUCAUUUCUGACGCUGAGACGCGAAAGCGUGGGGAGCAAACAGGAUUAGAUACCCUGGUAGUCCACGCCCUAAACGAUGGAUACUAGUCGUCGGAGUUCCUAAUCGCUCCGGUGACGAAGCUAACGCAUUAAGUAUCCCGCCUGGGAAGUACGGUCGCAAGAUUAAAACUCAAAGGAAUUGACGGGGGCCCGCACAAGCGGUGGAGCAUGUGGUUUAAUUCGAUGCUACGCGAAGAACCUUACCCAGACUUGACAUCCCGCGCAUAGCCGUGAAAGCGGUGAAUUCCCUUCGGGGACGCGGUGACAGGUGCUGCAUGGCUGUCGUCAGCUCGUGUUGUGAGAUGUUGGGUUAAGUCCCGCAACGAGCGCAACCCUCGUCGCUAGUUACCAUCAUUAAGUUGGGCACUCUAGCGAGACCGCUGAGCUAUAAGCCAGAGGAAGGUGGGGAUGACGUCAAGUCCUCAUGGCCCUUAUGUCUGGGGCUACACACGUGCUACAAUGGAAGGGACAAUGCGUUGCAAGCCGGCGACGGCAAGCUAAUCGCAAAAAACUUUUUUCAGUUCGGAUUGGAGUCUGCAACUCGACUCCAUGAAGCUGGAAUCGCUAGUAAUCGUGGAUCAGAACGCCACGGUGAAUACGUUCCCGGGCCUUGUACACACCGCCCGUCACACCAUGGAAGUUUGCUACACCGGAAAACGCCGAGCUAACCCGCAAGGGGGGCAAGCGUUUAUGGUUUGGCCGAUGACUGGGGUG
rnacentral:rRNA from 1 species